rnacentral:rRNA from 1 species
UACGUAGGGGGCAAGCGUUGUGCCGGAUUUAUUGGGCGUAAAGAGCGUGUAGGCGGUUUGGUAGGUCCGCCUGUGAAAACUCGAGGCUCAACCUCGAGACGCCGGUGGAAACCAUCAGACUAGAGUCCGGAAGAGGAGAGUGGAAGUUCCUGGAUGUAGCGGUGAAAUGCGCAGAUAUCAGGAGGAACACCGAUGGCGAAGGCAGGUCUCUGGGCUGAUAACUGACGCUGGAG